rnacentral:rRNA from 1 species
UAGGGAAUCUUCCACAAUGGACGCAAGUCUGAUGGAGCAACGCCGCGUGAGUGAAGAAGGUUUUCGGACCGUAAAGCUCUGUUGUUGGUGAAGAAGGAUAGAGGUAGUAACUGGCCUUUAUUUGACGGUAAUCAACCAGAAAGUCACGGCUAACUACGUGCCAGCAGCCGCGGUAAUACGUAGGUGGCAAGCGUUGUCCGGAUUUAUUGGGCGUAAAGCGGGCGCAGGCGGAAGAAUAAGUCUGAUGUGAAAGCCCUCGGCUUAACCGAGGAAUUGCAUCGGAAACUGUUUUUCUUGAGUGCAGAAGAGGAGAGUAGAACUCCAUGUGUAGCGGUGGAAUGCGUAGAUAUAUGGAAGAAUACCAGUGGCGAAGGCGGCUCUCUGGUCUGUAACUGACGCUGAGGCUCGAAAGCGUGGGGAGCGAACAGGAUUAGAUACCCUGGUAGUCCACGCCGUAAACGAUGAGUGCUAGGUGUUGGAUCCUUUCCGGGAUUCAGUGCCGCAGCUAACGCAUUAAGCACUCCGCCUGGGGGAGUACGACCGCAAGGUUGAA